rnacentral:rRNA from 1 species
UUCUGCCUACGGGGGGCAGCAGUAGGGAAUCUUCCACAAUGGACGAAAGUCUGAUGGAGCAACGCCGCGUGAGUGAAGAAGGGUUUCGGCUCGUAAAGCUCUGUUGGGAGUGAAGAAAGAUAGAGGUAGUAACUGGCCUUUAUUUGACGGUAAUUACUUAGAAAGUCACGGCUAACUACGUGCCAGCAGCCGCGGUAAUACGUAGGUGGCAAGCGUUGUCCGGAUUUACUGGGUGUAAAGGGAGCGUAGACGGUGAGACAAGUCUGAAGUGAAAGCCCGGGGC